rnacentral:ncRNA from 2 species
UUCUUAUCAAGAGAGGUUGAGAGAAUGGCUCUAUGACACCUCAGCAACCACCGUUUAGACGGAAAGGUGCUAAUUCCUGCAAGUUUGGUGAAAACUUGCAAGAUAAGAA